UUAAGUUCAGCGGGUAGUCCUACCUGAUUUGAGGUCAGAGUCAAAAAUUGCCCGAGGGCGAUUGUAAGCAGUCAUCACAACCUUCACCGACGAAACUUAUUACGCCGACUACGGUGCUAUCCCGCUAAGUCUUUUAAGGCGAGCCGGCAGAGCGGCAACACCCAAGUCCAAUCUCCUCGGAAACCCGAGGGAUUGAGUCU
rnacentral:misc_RNA from 1 species